rnacentral:lncRNA from 1 species
GGCCUCACCCUACUUCAAUAAGGGCUUAUGCACUCCACUCGUAAACGAGCGUUAGAGCUUUUUGAGCGAGCGAGCGAAGCCUUCCUGGAGCUUCCCCCUUCCCUCACCCGAGAAUUGCAUUUCCGCUUCAGCUUCCCCGCACGGUCAGUGAUAGUUCAUUAUUGGGGACAGACAGACUGGCAAAACAGCAGUAGCCACAGAUACAAUUC